rnacentral:tRNA from 1 species
GGGCGAUUAGCUCAGCGGGAGAGCGCUUCCCUGACACGGAAGAGGUCACUGGUUCAAUCCCAGUAUCGCGCACUA